CAUCACCGUCUUCUUCACCAACACCUCCAUCAUAAUUAUUAUUUACUAUUAUUAUGUCACCACCUACCCAUCUACUUGGGAGUUUAAGUUCAUUAGUUGUCUCAGGUGGAAUGAAUUUACUGUUCUUCGCUACAAAGAUGGAUAAUAGAUGCAUAGAUGUUUUUCUUCUCAUUUCUUCUACUGAUUUGAUUGCUUGAUUUGACCGACUGAAAGAUAGAAAGAGAUAGAUAGAUGGGUAGAACGAUUCAUUGCUAUAGAUAAGAAAGGGAGAGAGAUUUAAGGAGAAGAUGAGCUUCUUUUAUUCUGAGUAUUGACUGACCUGUUUGUAAAUUUGGGUAGUUUGUUCUCUUUCUCUGCCCGCCCGGCCGGCCAUGUAUUCAUCUCCUACUUUUUUCAGG
rnacentral:lncRNA from 1 species